UACGGAGGGUGCAAACGUUGCUCGGAAUUAUUGGGCGUAAGGCGCACGUAGGCGGACCAUCAAGUCGGAUGUGAAAUCCCUCGGCUUAACCGAGGACGUGCAUUCGAUACUGAUGGUCUUGAGUACGAAAGAGGAUCGCGGAAUUCCCGGUGUAGAGGUGAAAUUCGUAGAUAUCGGGAGGAACACCAGUGGCGAAGGCGGCGAUCUGGGUCGAUACUGACGCUGAGGUGCGAAAGCGUGGGGAGCAAACAGG
rnacentral:rRNA from 1 species